rnacentral:rRNA from 1 species
ACGGCUCAGUAACACGUGGACAACCUGCCCUUAGGACGGGGAUAAACCCGGGAAACUGGAUAUAAUACCCGAUAGGUCUCGAUUGCUGGAAUGCAUCGAGAUUUAAAGCUCCGGCGCCUAAGGAUGGGUCUGCGGCCUAUCAGGUAGUAGUGGGUGUAGCGUACCUACUAGCCUACGACGGGUACGGGUUGUGAGAGCAAGAGCCCGGAGAUGGAUUCUGAGACACGAAUCCAGGCCCUACGGGGUGCAGCAGGCGCGAAAACUUUACAAUGCUGGCAACAGCGAUAAGGGAACCUCGAGUGCCAGGUUACAAAUCUGGCUGUCGAGAUGCCUAAAAAGCAUUUCAUAGCAAGGGCCGGGCAAGACCGGUGCCAGCCGCCGCGGUAACACCGGCGGCUCGAGUGGUAACCGUUAUUAUUGGGUCUAAAGGGUCUGUAGCCGGCCGGAUAAGUCUCUUGAGAAAUCUGGCAGCUUAACUGUCAGGCUUUCAGGAGAUACUGUCUGGCUCGAGGCCGGGAGAGGUGAGAGGUACCUCAGGGGUAGGGGUGAAAUCUUGUAAUCCUUGAAGGACCACCAGUGGCGAAGGCGUCUCACCAGAACGGACCUGACGGCAAGGGACGAAAGCUAGGGGCACGAACCGGAUUAGAUACCCGGGUAGUCCUAGCCGUAAACGAUACUCGCUAGGUGUCGGCCACGGUGCGACCGUUGUCGGUGCCGUAGGGAAGCCGUGAAGCGAGCCACCUGGGAAGUACGGCCGCAAGGCUGAAACUCAAAGGAAUUGGCGGGGGAGCAC